UAUAUAUAUAUAUAUAUAUAUAAUAAUAAUAAUAAAAUAUCGUACACUUCUCUAAAGGAAAAUAAAUAUUAAAUUAUACAAUGCGAUACUAGUUAUUGAUAUCCAUGGCAACAAUUGUGUACACAAUUAACACAAUUUUAAAUUGAUCAAGCUUACCGAAAUAUAAACAAUAUGGCGAAUAAAAGAAAUAUAAAGUUACAUGUAAAAUAUAUCAUUUAAUAAAUUAAUCUUUUAAAUAUGAGGCAUCAAACUGUUCUUAUAUAUAUAUUAUUGGAUAACUAGCCUUUAGUUCUCUUGAUUAUAACGCCAAACUAUUUAAUUUCAAAAAUGUCGACUGAGAAGGUUCUUUAUCAAUUAUAUCAACCUCAUGGUUCUGGUACUGUCUACAUUUCAUGGCGACCUGGUAAUAGUACUCAUUUAGCAACUACUGGUUAUGAUUCCUCAGUUGCUAUUUUUGAUAGACAAGGUGAUUUACAAGAACGUAUUCAAAUUGCUGGUCUUUGUACUGGUUUUGGAUGGGAUUCUGAUGGAGAUCUAUUGGCUAUUAUAUCUCAAAAUUCAUCUGCUAUUAUAUUAUGGGAUGCAACAACUGGAAAAAAAACACAAAUUGAUGCUGGUGUAAGAGAUGGAUUAACAUGUAUGAUAUGGGCAAAAAGAACUUGUUUAUUAGCAGUAGGAACGCAGAAAGGAAAUUUAAUACUUUAUGAUCAUAUUAAUUCAAAACGAAUACCAAUUUUGGGGAAACACAAAAAAAAGAUAAUUUGUGGUGCUUGGUCUUAUGAAGGUCUUCUUGCAUUGGUCAGUGAAGAUAAAAUUUUAACUAUUAGUACUAGUGAUGGAGAUACAAGACGUGAAAUACCUCUUCAGGGAGAUGCAUCUGAUAUUCAAUUUAAUGAAAUGAAAAUGGAUCACAGAGUUGGGGGUGAAAAUACAGUAUCUCUUAUUAUUAGUAAAACUACCUUAUUUUUAUAUAAUAUUUUGGAUCCAGAAAACCCUAUUGAAUUAGCUUUUCAAAAACGUUAUGGUCCUAUUGUUACUUAUAAAUGGUAUGGGGAUGGAUAUAUUUUAGUUGGUUUUCAAACUGGGUAUUUCACUGCAAUAUCCACUCACAUUAAAGAAGUUGGCCAAGAAUUAUUUCAAGUUAAGAAUCAUAAAGAUUCCUUAACUGAUUUGGCUAUAAAUCAAGUAAUAGGAAAAAUUGCUACAUGUGGAGAUAAUAAUAUAAAAAUACAUAAUUUACAAAAUUUAGAAGAGACUGAAAAAUUGAUUACAAUAAAUGGUGAAACUGGUAUUAGUACAAUAGAAUGGUCAAUGGAUGGUACAAUGAUAGCAACUGUGACUUAUAGUGGAAAUGUUUUAGUUUAUUUAAUACAAAUCCCUAGAUUAUUUAGUGUUUAUGGAAAUAGAAUUGCAUUACUUACUAGUUUAACAGAAAUUACAAUCUAUCUUUAUACAUUGGAUAAGGAGAAAUCAGAACCAAUAAUAAUUAAUACUAUAAUAGAACCAUCGGUAUUAGCAAUUGGUCCUAUGCACGUAGCAGUGGGUUUAAAUAAUAGAGCAUUAUUCUGGGAUAUAUCAGGCAUCAAUUAUAAUACUACAAUCCAUUUUGAAAGAGAUUAUUUAGCAACAAUAGAUUGUAUACGAUUGAAUGAGACUUAUGCAUCUGUUUUAUUUGAUGGCAAAUUACAAUUGCAUUCGAUUAAAAUGGAUCAAACAUUAACAAAAGAGGGGAAAGAUACAAAAAUGUUCCCAAGUUUAAAUGCUUCAGAUUACAAAAUAACGUGCCAUGCCCUCAGUACUGAUUUUUUAAUCUAUGGUAGUGAUAUGGGCCACAUAAUUUAUUUUUGUUUAGAGAUUUUUAAUCAAUCUACUGAACAUAUACAUAAUAAUGGUAUAAAAGAAAUUUAUUUAGAUACAAAUGGAACACAAUUGUGUUUUUUAGAUAAUAAAUUUGAUGUUUAUAUCUAUAAUCCUGUACAAGAAACUGUUUUACAAAUUCUUGAUUGUUUAGACUGCAUUCAAGGUUUAAUUUGGGAUCAAAAUAUUUUGGAACGUAAUAUAUUUGCUAUUUACAAUAAAACUGUCGUUACUACAUAUGUAUUUGUAAAAUAUUUUAUUGAAGGUAUAAAAAUUAUAAAGAUAAACUCAACAAAACUACCAUCUGAAACAUUACCGCUAUUGAUGUAUUCUGGAGAACUGACAUUAAGUUCAACAAGUAAUAAGUUAAUGCAGAUUACAUUAUCUUCUCAUGAAGACAUAGGAAAUAUUGUAGAAUAUACAAAAAUGAAAGAAAUAUUAGAAAAUCAAAUUCUUUGUAGAAGAUUUGAACAGGCAUGGAUUACAUGUGAAAAAAUUAAUGAAAAAGAGUCAUGGUUAAAAUUAGGAGAAAAUGCAAUUGCAAAUUUAAAUAUUGAUUUCGCACUUCGAAUUUAUCGCUAUUUAGAAGAAGUUGCGAUGGUUUGGGCAUUACAAAACAUGGAAAGUAUAGAUGAAUUACCAUUAUUAUGUGGACAUGCAUGUAUCUUACUUGGUAAUUACAAUCAGGCAGAACAAUUUUUUUUACAAUCAUCAGAACCAGUACAAGCUUUAUAUUUGAGAAGAGACUUAAUGCAAUGGGAGCAGGCAUUGAAUUUAGCUCAAAAAUUAAAAGCUGAUGAAAUUCCAUAUAUUGCUAGAGAAUAUGCUCAACAAUUAGAGUUUAUGGGUAAUUAUCCAAAAGCAUUAACAAAUUACGAACGUGGAUUAGUAGAUUUAAAUAAUGUAUAUAAUACAACUAUAUAUAAUCCUCAUCAUCGAAAUCUAUGUCUUGCUGGAAUUGCAAGAAUGUCAAUCAGAUGUGGAGAUAGUAGAAAAGGUGUGAGUAUAGCUAUGGAUAAUGAAAGUUCAAGACAGUUAAGAAAAGAAUGUGCAGAAAUAUUAGAAUCAAUGAAGCAAUUUAAUGAAGCAGCUUUAUUAUAUGAAAAAGCUGAAUAUUUUGAUAAAGCAGCUUCUGCAUAUAUAAAAUUAAAAAAUUGGCCAAAAGUGGGACAGCUUUUACCACAAAUUUCAUCUGCUAAAAUUAAUAUACAAUAUGCUAAGGCCAAAGAAACUGAAGGCAAAUAUGAAGAAGCAGCAAAAGCAUAUGAGAUUGCAAAAGAUUACGAGAACAUAAUUAGGAUUAAUUUGGAAUAUUUAAACAAUCCUGCUCGAAGCGUUGAAGUGGUACAACAAACUAAAAGUAUAGAAGGGGCUAAAAUGGUCGCGAAAUAUUUUCAGAAAAUGAAUGAUUAUAAUUCAGCAAUUAAAUUUUUAAUUUUAUCAAAUUGUCAUGAAGAAGCUUUUCAAUUAGCUAAUCAACAUGGAAAAAUGGAAUUAUAUGGAGAAAUUUUAAUAAAUACAAUUGAUGAUAAUAAUUCACGGAAAGAAGAUUUCAAAAGUCUCGCUAUGCAUUUUGAAUCUCAGAAAAAUAAUUUUUUAGCUGGAAAAUAUUAUUUCCAUGCUAAAGAAUAUCAAAAAGCAUUACGACAUUUAUUAAAAGCUGUACAAUUGGUAACUGAUGAAAAUGAAGUUCUUACAUUAGCUAUUGAUACAGUUGCUUCAUCAAAAGAUGAUAAAUUAGCAAAUCAAUUGAUUGAUAUUUUAUUAGGUGGAGAUGGAUUGCCAAAGGAUCCUAAAUAUCUAUUUCGAUUAUAUAUGGCUAGAAAACAAUAUAAAGAAGCUGCAAAAACAGCAAUUAUAAUUGCAAAUGAAGAACAAAUUAAUGGAAAUUAUAGAAGUGCUCAUGAUGUUCUAUUUGGCAUGUAUCAAGAAUUAAAAAAGAAUAAGAUUAAUAUACCUUUAGAGAUGCAAAAUAAUUUAAGACUUUUGCAUUCUUACAUUCUUGUUAGACUUCAUGUAAAAAAAAAUGAUCAUUUACGUGGUGCUCGUAUGUUAAUAAGAGUAGCCAAUAAUAUAUCAAAAUUUCCAUCACAUAUUGUUCCAAUCUUAACAUCUACUGUAAUAGAAUGUCAAAGAGCUGGAUUAAAAUAUGCUGCAUUUAAUUAUGCUGCUAUGCUGAUGCGUCCAGAAUAUAGAAGUCAAAUUGAUGCAAAGUAUAGUAAAAAGAUUGAAGCAAUUGUAAGAAAACCACCAAAAUCAAAAGAUAACGAAAAUGAAGAUGAACCUUUAACUCCAUGUCCAUAUUGUAAAAGUAAACUUCCAGAGACAGAAAUUACUUGUGACAAAUGCAAAAAUACAAUACCUUUUUGUGUAGCUACAGGUCGACAUAUUGUUGAAGAUGAUUUUGCAGUAUGUCCACAAUGUGAUUUUCCUUGUAUAAGAAGUGAAUUUUUAAGGAUCUUCAGCUAAUGGAUCUGCAGUGUACUAAUAAUUUUGUUGUUUUACAACAAAAAAUUGGAAUGGAAAGAAAUACGAUUGUCAAAAAAGACAGAUUGUUAAGAAUUAAAGAUCCCAUUGGUUCCACAAAUGUGAUAAACAGAUAAAAAGAUGAUGGCUUAAUGAACUCAACCACUUGUAUCAAAUAUAGUCCAACCUCAAUCUGAUGUGUUAAUAACAAACUACUCAGGGUCAAAUUUCUGAUACUUGUUUAUUAGAGUUCCAAUUGGUGUUACAAAAUCUAUUAAUUCAGAAAAAUGAAAACUUAUGCAAUAAAUAUUUAAUAAUUCUUUUAUUUCAUGCAUGUAAAUAUCAUACAAUAUGAAAAUAAUAUGUGGCAAUAUUUGUUAUUAGAUUGUAAAACUAGGAAAAAUAUAUUAACUCAGUACAAGAAUUUUUUUAAAUGGGAAAAAAUUAUAUAGUACACAUUAUAGCCUUUCAAAAUAAAUUAUUACUUAGAAACAUUGCAAUUAAAAUGAUUAUUAUAUUUUUAUUUUUGAAGUAAGAAAUAAGAAUAAAAUAUUGUUGCAAUAUCUACAACACAAAUAAUUAAGCAAAUUCAAAUCAAAGCUAAAUGAGAAGAGUAUAUGAUGCAUUGGAAAUUUGAUAUCCUACAAUAUUUAAUUUAGCAAAUCAGUCAAUAUAUUUCAAAAAAAAUUAUCAUUAUCUAUCAUUAUUAUAUAUAAUUAUCAUUGAAAUCAAUGAACCUAACAAUUGUCCUAUGUUUUUUUUUUUUGAAAAAUAAAUAUUAAAUACAAUAAAAGAUGUACACAAAAUUAAUACUAAAUAUUAAUAAUAAUAUUAAGAAUAUAUAGAUAUCAUUGUCAAUAAAAAAUCUUUAACAAUUAUAAGUAA